GAUUGGAUUGAGCCUUGGUAUGGAAACCUGCUAAGUGGUAACUUCCAAAUUCAGAGAAACCCUGGAACUAAAAAUGGGCAAUCCUGAGCCAAAUCUUUGUUUUGAGAAAAAAUAAAAAAUGAGAAAAAGGGAUAGGUGCAGAGACUCAACGGAAGCUGUUCUAACGAAUGGAAUUUACUACGUUAGAUUAGUAGCUAAAAUCCUUCUUUCUAUCAAAAAAAAAAGAUCGAAAUGAAAGAAAGGAUGACCUUAUAUACCUAAUACAUACGUAUACAUACUGACAUAGCAAGCGAUUAAUCACAUUUCUUUCUAUUACUAUUAUCUUAUCUACUAUUAAGAUAUGAGUAUUAGUAUGAGUAUAAGAUAAGGAUAUAUAUAGAAACCCUCUAUUUCUAUUCUAUUAUUCUAUAUUAAUUAGAAUAAUAUACUAUGAAAAGUUUAAAUUCUAUCAAUUCUAAUUGAAGUUGAAAAAAGAAUCGAAUUCAAAUAUAAAGUUAUUAAGUAAUCAAAUGAUUCAUUCCAGAGUUUGAUAUAUUUUUUGAAGAUGAAUCGUACGAGAAUAAAGAGAGAGUCCCCUUUUACAUGUCAAUACCGACAACAAUGAAAUUUAUAGUAAGAGG
rnacentral:precursor_RNA from 1 species